rnacentral:rRNA from 1 species
AUUGAACGCUGGCGGCAGGCCUAACACAUGCAAGUCGAACGGUAACAGGAAGCAGCUUGCUGCUUUGCUGACGAGUGGCGGACGGGAGAGUGAUGUCUGGGAAACUGCCUGAUGGAGGGGGAUAACGACUGGAAACGGUAGCUACUACCGCAUAACGUCGCAAGACCAAAGAGGGGGGACUUAGGGCCUCUUGCCAUCGGGUCUGCCCAGAUGGGAUUAGCUAGUAGGUGGGGUAACGGCUCACCUAGGCGACGAUCCCUAGCUGGUCGGAGAGGAUGAGCAGCCACACUGGAACUGAGACACGGUCCAGACUCCUACGGGAGGCAGCAGUGGGGAAUAUUGCACAAUGGGCGCAAGCCUGAUGCAGCCAUGCCGCGUGUAUGAAGAAGGCCUUCGGGUUGUAAAGUACUUUCAGCGGGGAGGAAGGGAGUAAAGUUAAUACCUUUGCUCAUUGACGUUACCCGCAGAAGAAGCACCGGCUAACUCCGUG